rnacentral:rRNA from 1 species
AACGAACGCUGGCGGCAGGCUUUACACAUGCAAGUCGAACGCCACCUUCGGGUGGAGUGGCGGACGGGUGAGUAACACGUGGGAACGUGCCUUUAGGUUCGGAAUAGCUCCUGGAAACGGGUGGUAAUGCCGAAUGUGCCCUUCGGGGGAAAGAUUUAUCGCCUUUAGAGCGGCCCGCGUCUGAUUAGCUAGUUGGUGAGGUAAAGGCUCACCAAGGCGACGAUCAGUAGCUGGUCUGAGAGGAUGACCAGCCACAUUAGGACUGAGACACGGCCCAAACUCCUACGGGAGGCAGCAGUGGGGAAUCUUGCGCAAUGGGCGAAAGCCUGACGCAGCCAUGCCGCGUGAAUGAUGAAGGUCUUAGGAUUGUAAAAUUCUUUCACCGGGGACGAUAAUGACGGUACCCGGAGAAGAAGCCCCGGCUAACUUCGUGCCAGCCGCCGCGGUAA